AGCGAACGCUGGCGGCAGGCUUAACACAUGCAAGUCGAGCGCCCCGCAAGGGGAGCGGCAGCCGGGAGAGUAGCACGUGGGAACAUACCUAUUGGUUCGGCACGACCGAGGGAUACUUAAGAUAAUACCGGAUAAGGCCUAACGGGGAAAGAGUUAUCGCGGAAGGAUUGGGCCGCGUCUGAUUUGCUAGUUGGUGAGGUAACGGCUCACCAAGGCGACGAUCAGUAGCUGGUCUGAGAGGAUGAUCAGCCUCACUGGGACUGAGACACGGACCAGACUCCUACGGGAAGCAGCAGUGGGGAAUAUUGGACAAUGGGGGCAACCCUGAUCCAGCCAUGCCGCGUGAGUGAUGAAGGCCUUAGGGUUGUAAAGCUCUUUUGCCCGGGAAGAUAAUGACGGUACCGGGAGAAUAAGCCCCAGCUAACUUCGUG
rnacentral:rRNA from 1 species